rnacentral:rRNA from 1 species
CACGUAGGGCGCAAGCGUUGUCCGGAAUUAUUGGGCGUAAAGAGCUCGUAGGCGGUCUGUUGCCUCCGCUGUGAAAACUCGGGGCUUAACCCCGAGCCUGCAGUGGAUACGGGCAGACUAGAGGUAGGUAGGGGAGAAUGGAAUUCCCGGUGUAGCGGUGAAAUGCGCAGAUAUCGGGAGGAACACCGGUGGCGAAGGCGGUUCUCUGGGCCUUACCUGACGCUGAGGAGCGAAAGCGUGGGGAGCAAACAGG